UUAUAAACCUGAGUCAGCAGAAGGCUCUUAUUUGAGUCACACGUAGCAGUCUUCAUACCACCUAAGCUAUACAAACCACCUACAACCAUGUUUUCAACCCAUUUCUACAAAGAAAUCGUGAUAGAAAAAGAGGAGCCGGAGAAUCAAGAGAGAUGGAGAUGGUUGUUGGCGGCGGCAGCGACGAUGGGAACUACGGCGGUAGCGAUGUUUUCCACGGUGGCUAGGGUUCAAUUUCGACGAUGGUAUCAAGCAAAGAUUUUUACCGAUUCAGACCAUGGCGUGUGUGAUUUUCUAUAGUAAAUCAUCAUCUCAACCUAAUAUCCCAGUUAAAGUUCUGUGAGUUGAGCUUGGAGGCUGAAAUCAAGAACUUUGGGCUCAACAGUGGGAGGUUUUCAUCAACACCGGUGUUUCACAUCUUCCUUCUUGUUUGCUAAGUAACUUUAGGUUUACGUAUUGUUUUUAAUUCUUCAAAAGGUUUACAUCUUUAUGCUACCAAAAGGCUCUAAGGUAGACAAUGUAAACAAGCCAGGAAUAUUGCUGGAAGUGGUUCAAAUUCUUGCAGACCUUGAUCUUAUUAUUACUAAAGCCUACAUUUCCUCUGGAGGAUGGUUCAUGGAUGUGUUUCAUGUGAUGUGACUGACCAACAAGGAAAAAAGAUAAAUGACAAUAUGACCAUUGAAUACAUAGAAAAGGUAUGUCUUCUCUUCAACUUAUACCGAAUAUUAUGGCAUAAAUAGAUCAUUCAGAGGCUUGGUUUUAAAAAGCGAGAGGCACACAAAAGCGACGAGGUUUAAAAUUGAGGCGCAAAGUGCAAAAGCGGUGGGCUUUUCGUACCCGAGGCGCAAGGUGUUUAUAUAAUUUUUUUUAUAUAUCCCGUACAUAUCCCAUAGGUUUUUUGCUUCCUUUAACCAAAAUAUAGCUAUAAAUAACGCUUUUAUACCAUUUUACUUACAUGUACAAGUCAAAAAACCCAAGGUACAAUAUUUUUAUGCACUAAAACGCCUCAUAUACAUGAGGCGCACGCCUCAGGCCAAAAAGCCCCCAAAAACCAUCAAAAAAAUGCGCCUUUUGGUCGCUUCCUGUAAUUACACAAGGCGCUGAGCAAAAAAGCCCCAGGCCCUGCGCCUAGGGAGCGCUUUUUAAAACCAAGUUCAGAGGUGGCGAUUUCUUCGGAUUGGAUGGUAUUUGAUAUGAUAUCUAACAAGUGAGAGGUGUAAACUUUGAAGGCUUGGUUGAACAUGUAAUGGGUUAGAAGUGAUCGAUUGGGUCUUUUCUUCAACUUAUACCGAACACUAAAAAACCCGCGGUCACCGAAUGGGUAUUAAACUAGAUUUUGUUGAAUAUACAAAAACUUACCUAGGAUAUGCAACCUUCUUUACAACACUUAGUUCAGUGUUUGAUUUGGUUGAUUUUUUGUACAGGUACUGUGGUUAAUUUUAAAUACAUGAUCUUCAUACUUUUUGCUGUUAAUUUGUAGUUACAAAGUGAUAAUUUGCUCGGAUCUGCUUAAAAUUUUAUUGCUCCAUGAUUUAAAAAAUCUGGUGAUGGGAUUGUUGAGCUGUGCAGUGAGCAAAAUAUAAUGACUGUUCUAGCCCCAUUAUUUAACUUCCCUUUCGAUAGUGUUUGUGGUGCAAGUUCUCGAUAGUGUUUCCACCAUUUGAUAUAGUGUAAGCUACGUGUAAUGGUGUAAGCAACUUUGAUGCUAGCUACAAUAGUAUAAAGCCCUGUGAGCCUGCAAGUGAUUCUUGCAUUUUGGCAAGAAGAAAAGUACAUAGAGAACAUGGAAGGUUUGAUAAAGAAUAUGUGAUGCGGUGAGGAAGUUGGGCCAGAACCGUAAAUGCCUUUGUGUCGUUAUCUUGUCAAGAACUGCCAAGAGUUCUGGGGUGAAGCUAGAGAUUGUUAUGACCAUUCUGAAACAAUGCAAUAUAGCUGAUCGUCCUAUUGGUUAUCAAUGUGGAGCUUAUAUAGUGCCUUGAAAACUUGAAGGCUAUUAGUUUCGAUGGAAGUUGUACCAGUCUUGUGCCAAGCGCAAGAGAGAGAGAAAGGGAUUACGUAGAGAGAGGGAGAAAGAGGCAGGGAGGAGAAACGACGACGUCGUUUAGGGUUCCGCCGCAAACACAAUGUCGGUGGCGACUGUGAUUGACGUUGCAAGCUCCGGUUCUGUCAAGAGAAGAAUAUUUGAUACUUUUUCAGCAUAAUUCGGUAAUAUUGAAUCAGUUCCAGUGAAGCUCCGAGCGGAAAGUGGUAAAAGCCAGUCUCGAAGGUGAGUUUUCUGAUUAAUUAAUUUUUUGCAUUUUUUAUUUAUGAUUUCGUAAGAAAAGUAUUUAGGUCGGGUCAUUCGGUUUUUAAAAGAAUUUUGGGCCGCAAUUGAAUCAUAUUGGAACUAAAAAACAUGUAUACGUAUGUAAAGAAAACUAUGAUAAACAAUUAUAAUAUAUUAAAUAAUAAAAAACUAUAUAUUAUUAUAUAAAUAAAGGUACUAUUCAUCAGCUCUCUGGCUUAAAACGUUAGCAAGUUGUUAGAUCCUGAAGGGAUCGGUACCUCUGGCCACCCAAUUGACGGUUGCACAAUCGAUGGUGUCCUUUUCCACCGCCUUACACCAGGUACACAUAUUUGGGGAUUUCUUUGAAUUUCAUUGAUAUCUUUUUUAUAUAUAUAUUAAUUGUGAGAUUGAUCGCUUUUUUAUUUGCUUUUUAAAAGCCUUUCAAGUUUUAGGGAUAUGAUGUGUAAUUAACUUUCUAAUUAAAGCUCAUUACUAUUCAAAUAAAAUAUGAUGUGUAAUCCGUAUCGUGGACCUAAUUUGGUUGUUGAAGACGAGCCAGGGAUGAAGGAGGAGCAAGCGGCGUUUAUGAAGGAGCUAGAGACUUUCCACUAGGGCAGAGAAGAGAAACGGUGGCGUAGUUUAGGGUUCCGUCGCAAACACAACGCCGGUGGUGACUGUGGUUGACGUUGCAAGCUCUGGUUCUGGCAAGAGAAGAAUAUUUGAUACUUUUUCAGCAUAAUUCGGUAAUCUUGAAUCGGUUCCGGUGAAGCUCCGAUGAACCGUUCAACACUUGCAUGUCUCAGAUCUGUUUAGAUCGGUGACUCUCAGGCCACCAUCGAUGGGUUAGGGAGGGAGCUGUGGCACAUGAAGACUUUGAGGGGCAUAAAAUGACUAUUGGAGCUGGUGAUUUGCAGUGGAUGACUUACAGAUAGACAUAAGAGGGAUGGGAAUCAUUGGGACGGCUACUCGUGUAUGGAUUGAUAGAUAAAAAUUGUUGAGCUUUGGAAACCCAAAACAUAUCGGAUGGGGCUUCUGGUGUGGAAGUGCUAAAAAAGUCAAGGGUCGAGUUCGGUAUCAGGUGAUACCUUAGCCGAGUAAAAGGAUUUUUGAAGACUAUUAUUCUAUUAGGAUGCUUUUAAUGAUGAUUGGGAGCCUCGGGUUAGUGGUCAAGACUAAUGUUCAUGAUAUUUGGGUCAAAGAAAAAUGUUAAUUGCAUAUCUCAACAAGUUAUAUUUAUUUGUGAAUGUGUUCUUGCUGUUGUAAUCUCAUUUGCCAUUCUUGCUUUGGUAGACUUAAAGAUCAUGAUGUAUGAUAUAGAUGCAUAGACAGGUUACCAUCUUCGGUAUAGAAAGGUAGAUAAGAAGACUUUGUACAACAUUUUUGUUAUUUUUUUUUUUAUUUUUGGCACUAA